GGAUGAACGCUAGCGGCAGGCCUAAUACAUGCAAGUCGGACGGGAUAGGAGAGCUUGCUUUCCUUGAGAGUGGCGCACGGGUGCGUAACACGUAUGUAACCUACCCUUAUCAGGGGGAUAGCCUCUCGAAAGAGAGAUUAAGCCCGCAUAAAAUGAAGACACAGCAUUGUGAUUUCAUCAAAUAUUUAUAGGAUAAGGAUGGGCAUGCGGAACAUUAGCUAGUUGGUAAGGUAAUGGCUUACCAAGGCUACGAUGUUUAGGGGAUCUGAGAGGAUGACCCCCCACACUGGUACUGAGACACGGACCAGACUCCUACGGGAGGCAGCAGUAAGGAAUAUUGGUCAAUGGGCGGAAGCCUGAACCAGCCAUGCCGCGUGCAGGAAGACGGCCCUACGGGUUGUAAACUGCUUUUGCAGGGGAAUAAACCCCCAUAUGUAUAUGGGGUUGAAUGUACUCUGAGAAUAAGGAUCGGCUAACUCCGUGCCAGCAGCCGCGGUAAUACGGAGGAUCCGAGCGUUAUCCGGAUUUAUUGGGUUUAAAGGGUGCGUAGGCGGCCUUGUAAGUCAGGGGUGAAAGACGGUAGCUUAACUAUCGCAGUGCCUUUGAUACUGCAGGGCUUGAAUGUACUUGAGGUAGGCGGAAUGUGACAAGUAGCGGUGAAAUGCAUAGAUAUGUCACAGAACACCAAUUGCGAAGGCAGCUUACUAAAGUAUGAUUGACGCUGAGGCACGAAAGCGUGGGGAUCAAACAGGAUUAGAUACCCUGGUAGUCCACGCCCUAAACGAUGAAUACUCGAUGUUGGCGAUAUACAGUCAGCGUCAAAGCGAAAGCGUUAAGUAUUCCACCUGGGGAGUACGCCCGCAAGGGUGAA
rnacentral:rRNA from 1 species